GCAGAAGAGGAAGUUACGAUGAGAAGGAGCUCUAGAAAUUAGCUUGAAGUCUCCUUGAGUCUUUAACCAAAUACAAAGCUGCCCAUGCAUAGGAGACUAGGAAGCUUACUGAGAUACUGUGAUGCUGUAUAAUGCUAGGAAUCAGACUAAGUGAAGAAACUUCAUUGAACACUCAGAGAAUUCAGAUAUUGCAUUUUUCACAAGUUGAAGGUUUGUGGCAAACCUGCACUGAGCAAAGUCUACAGGGAUGCCUUCCAACGUGACAACUGGACUUUCUCAGAUAAGCAAUCCAAGAGAGAAAAAGAAAUAAUUAAAAGGUACAACAAGAUAGAAAAAUGGGCUGGAAGUCUGAAGAUAUAACACAUGAAAUGACAAACAUGCUCACACAGUUGAAUUCAAGAAAGAAAUAAAAAUACAGAGAUCAAAGCAUGAUACAUUCAGGCCACACUUAAACACCUUCAAGCAGCUGGCA